GGUCGAGCUUAGGAUGGA
rnacentral:rRNA from 1 species